GAUGAACGCUGGCGGCGUGCCUAAUACAUGCAAGUCGAGCGAACAGACGAGGAGCUUGCUCCUCUAACGUUAGCGGCGGACGGGUGAGUAACACGUGGAUAACCUACCUAUAAGACUGGGAUAACUUCGGGAAACCGGAGCUAAUACCGGAUAAUAUAUUGAACCGCAUGGUUCAAUAGUGAAAGACGGUUUUGCUGUCACUUAUAGAUGGAUCCGCGCCGCAUUAGCUAGUUGGUAAGGUAACAGCUUACCAAGGCAACGAUGCGUAGCCGACCUGAGAGGGGGAUGGGCCACACGGGAACUGAGACACGGUCCAGACUCCUACGGGAGGCAGCAGUAGGGAAUCUUACGCAAUGGGCGAAAGCCUGACGGAGCAACGCCGCGUGAGUGAUGAAGGUCUUCGGAUCGUAAAACUCUGUUAUUAGGGAAGAAAAAAUGUGUAAGUAAAUAUGCACGUCUUGACGGUACCUAAUCAGAAAGCCACGGCUAACUACGU
rnacentral:rRNA from 1 species